AGUGAAAGUUGUGGAGGGACGACGGGAGAGAUGAGAAUGGUGAAGCAUUUGUUGGAGUCUUCCCCGUGUUUGAAGGAGAUGAAGAUAUUUGCCCUCAAGGAUUAUCAUACAGAUAUCUUUGAUCUUGUUGUGAAGAUGGUGAAUCUCUGCAACGAGAGUUACCGAGUUGUGGUGUUCAACUUCUUGUGUGUGAUUCAUCGUAUAAAAUGAACCAGAUUCGUAGUUUGAAAUAAUAUUCUAGGAAUAGUCUAAAGAGUCAACUGCUUGUUUUGGUAUCUAAACCUCAAAUAAUAUUUAGUUUAAUGCUAGCUAAUACGGACCAAAACAGGUUCCUUUAGAAUACAUCUCAAUUUUGAGAAGAUUCAUAUAUACAACAAUGACUCAGAUUUAGAGGUCCAGCGAUCUUUUCUUUAAACUGAUACAUUAUUUUUUUAUGUUUCAUGUUCAUAGAAGCGAGGUAAUGUGGACUAUUGGGAGAUUAACUCCAGAUGUCCCUUUGACUCACGAAAAAUGCUUAAAUCUUCCAUCAAUAAAAUAUAAUUUUUUAUUUAUUUAUUUUAAAAUACAAAAAUAGGCUAAAUACAUCUAUAACCCAAACAAAAUCACAUAAUUACAUGACCUGUUCACACAAACCCAGCCCACCCAAACAUGAACCCACCCAAACACAUACAGGUAUAACCUUUUUCCUAAACCUAAACUCUGCGUUUGGACAAAAAGAAAACAGCAAAAAAAAUUGUCCUGUCUUUCCCUUCUCUCCUCUCUUUAUCCUCGUGUUCUUUCUGAUUUCCAGAAACGGCUACAAAAUCGACAAACUCAUCGUUUUUUCUUCUUAUUCUUCUUCUUCUUCUGUUCUAAUCAAGACUUCAUCUUCUGAAUCGACAUCCUUCAUCCUGGUAAGUGAUUUCUUGACCUUGACUUUCUUGUAUUUUGUAUUUAGGUCAGAUAAAAACUGGGGAAAACUUGUAAAUUGUAGACAAAAAAUUUAGUAAGAUCUUAGUAAGCGAGAUUGUGGUUUGAAAUUUGGGAAAACAUCUUGAAACUGUAAAAUUGGUAUAAAUUGGAACAAAAACCAAGAGCUCGCGAUUUUUAUGGGUUCUUUCUUACUGGAUCCAAUUGGUUUUCCUGGUUUAUUGUUUGUGAUAUGAAACCGAAAUCUCUUUGACUGUUAGGAUAAAUGUAAACUGAAAUGGAGUAGGUGAUUUAUUGAGUGAAUGAAAGGUUUGAGAUAAGGCAAAGUAAUAAUUCUAGAUUAUGUCUAAAUGUGUGUUGUUGUGUUGUUUUUGGAUGUUCAGAGGAAGUAGAUAAUGGCAGGUAACCGUGGAGGAAAAAAAAAAGACUGCAAAGAAAAGUGGAAAAUCCACAACAACUCAUGUUGCUGAAGAGCAUGUGGAAGAGCUAUCAGACGGAAAUAAUAGUGAUGAUCUAUGUGAACCCCCCUCUAAGGUAUAAUAUUCUUUUGGUUUUAGUUGAAUAAAGUGUCACUGGUUGUGUGUGUAUUGGUUUUAUUUUAAUUAAGUGCUACUGUUGUGUAUUAGUUUUGAAUUGAAGUUUUAUUGAUGUUGGUAGGAGUAAUUGAGUUGUUGUGAUUAACAUCUUGUACAGGGAAUGAAGGGCCUAAAAAGAAAGUGUCCAUCUACUGGAGGUGGAGUCUUCAGUAGAACUAGAGCUAGAAAGGCGGUAUCAAAUGGGAAUGAGCCGGUUAGAGAAGAGAGCAAUCCAGUGAGAGGAACGACUGUAGUUUCGCUCUCACUUGAUACCGAAACUGAAGGCAUGUCUGAUGUUUCCUCCAAGGAAAUGCAACCACCACAGCCCCUUGAAAUGUACUUCAAGAACACCAGUACCUGAAGACUUGCAAGAUUCAAACCAAGUGCCGUGUGAAGAAGACAGUUGAUGUGAUUAAGGAACUUAAGGAGGAGGUCGGCUGGUUCACAAGCCAUUCUCAGUUUUGUCAUUUCUUCUACAUGCCUGAUGAAGAAUUCCUGAAGCUCCAAGGAAUGUGGAUGUUACUGCUGCGCACCAUUCGUAUUGAAGGAGAAGAUGCUGCAUGGUUUGCGGUGAAUGGUGUGUCCAUCCGCUACUCUAUGAGGAGCAUGACCUCAUCUCUGGCUUGGACUGCCAUGAGUAUCCGAGUGGACAUUUGAAGCUCGGGAGUACUAAAAUUGUGGAUUAUUACUUCGGUAAUAAGAAGAAGAUCACCAUAGAAGAUGUGAAGCAGAAGCUGCAAUCUACGGGGACGGCAUGUAAUGAUAGAUUGAAGAUGGCUGUCCUGUUCUUCCUUGGUCGGGUUAACAGAGGAAAGACGAAGGAUUCUGCAGCAUUAGACCCGUUCAUCUUAAGGAUAGUGGACGAUUUGGAUGUUUGCAGAAAAUUUCCUUGGGGUCGUCUAACAUUUAAGGAUGCAAUAACGUAGAUUAAGCAUGUAAUGGAGCUUCUGAAGGGUGAAGUGCACUAUGUAACCGACUUUAAUGGAUUCAUAAUUCCAUUAGAGGUAAAGCAUACAAUUUAGCAUGAAGUGAAAUUUUUGUUAUUUAUAACCGAAAAUCUGACACUGUGACACUUCAUUUGUGUAGGUUUUGGCUUUUGAGUGUAUUCCUAAGCUGGAAAAAAAAUUUUGAAUCUCUUCAGACGGCGCCAGUGGAGAUUGUCCUAGGAUGUGCAAGAGUCGGUUUACAAAGAGUAGCAUGAAAGGUUAUUCUUUGGAAGAUACAUAUGCUGCGGUUGGAAAAACAAAGGUAUAUCUUUAUUUUAUUUAGUAGAAAAUAGCAGAAUAUUUAAACUGAUAUUUCUGAAUGUUUUAUUUUCAGGUUAUUAAUAGUGUGUUGAUUCCAACGGUGGAUGAGGAAACUUUGCUGGCUCGUAUCAUUGAUCUGGAGCCAGAGUAUCAUCGUGAGGGUAGCACACUGGCUAAAUGUGAAGCAGAAGAAGAUUUGGUGGAAAUAAUUUUAUGAGUCAGAUGUUGCUACACGAAAGUUUACAAAGACGGAAGACAAAGAAAAGGUGACGAUUGUAGAAGGUUCAUCUUCUAAUUCUUGUUUGGAAUCGAUGUUGAAAGGUGUGGAAAACAGGAUUGUGAAGGCUAUGGAAGAAGGAUUUUCUGGAAUUAAUUUAACGGUAGAGACAAAGCUGGAAGCUAUGAACUGGACUAUGGGUAAACUUGAGAAGAACCAGCGAGUUUUGAAGAAAAAUGCCAAGAAAAUAGAAGACAGGUUGACUUCUAUUGAAAGCAAGGGAAAUGAGGAUGAGAAAUAUAGACAGUGGAAUGAUUUUGAUUAUGGUAGAGAUCAUGGGAAGGAUAGAGAGAUGGCUGAGGCAGAGAAGGAUAAAGAGAAGGCUGAGACAAGGAAGAAAAACAGUGAGAAAGACGAGGAAAACAGUGGGAAAGAUGAGGAAGACGUGGAAAACAGUGAAAAGAGUAAGAAAGACGAGGAAAACAAUGAGAAGGGUGAAGAAGAGGAAGAGCAAGAACAUGAAAAAGACAAAGAAAACAGUAACUCUGUUGAAAAAGACAAAAACACGUGGAAGAAUCAUAUGAAGAAGAUUCUCUGUUAAGGCUUCAUGAAAGAGUGAGUGUACAAGCAGAAGAAUUCUGGAGGACAAUUGAUGAUGAGUCUGACGAUGAGAAAGAGGCUGAGAAAGAGGUUGAGAAAGAGGCUGAGGAAGAGGGUGAGAAAGAUGGUGAGAAAGAGGUUCGAGAAGAGAAAGAGGCUGAGAAAGAUGGUGAGAAAGAGGCUGAGAAAGAAGAGAAAGAAGAGAAAGAGGCUGAGAAAGAAGAAUCUAAGGGAACUCCUACCUCUACCGGGUUAGUAAUCAUUACACCACAUGGUAGAACUAAAGUAGCAGCUGCGAGGAAAGUAAACACUACACCACCAGAGAUUGUUGUGGUAAUAGAGGAAAAAACCACUGAACAAGAAGCCAUGGUAACUGAGCAAGAAGCUAUUCAGACUGAGAUUGUUGAGCUAGCUGAGUAAGAGGCUGAGAUAGAAGCUAUUCAGACAGAGCAAGAAGUUAUUCAGACUGGGAUUGUUGAGAAAGAGGCUGAGAUUACUGAGAAAGAUGCUGAGGUAGCUGAGAAAGAGGAUCAAGAUGUGGAUGAAGAGGAGGAAAAACUUCUUUCCUCUGCUUUUUCCUCCUCUUCAUCCACAUCUUGAUCCUCUUUCUCAGCUACCUCAACAUCUUUCUCAGUAACCUCAGCCUCUUUCUCAACAAUCUCAGUCUGAAUAACUUCUUGCUCUGUAUGAAUAACUUCUACCUUAGCCUCUUUCUCAGCUAGCUCAACAAUCUCAAUCUGAAUAGCUUCUUGCUCAGUUACCAUGGCUUCUUGUUCACUGGUUUUUUCCUUUCUUAUAUAAUUACCACAACAAUCUCUGGUGGUGUAGUGUUUACUUUCCUCGCAUCUGCUUCCUUAGUUCUACCACAUGGUGUAAUGAUUACUACUCCGGUAGAGGUAGGAGUUCCCUUGAAUUCUUCUUUCUCAGCCUCUUUCUCUUCUUGAACUUCUUUCUCAGCCUCUUUCUCACCAUCUUUCUCAGCCUUUUUCUCAUCGUUAGACUCAUCAUCAGUUGUCCUCCAAAAUUCUUCCGCUUGUACUCUCACUCUUUCAUGAAGCCUUAACAGAGAAUCUUCUUCAUCUGAUUCCUCCACGUUUUUUUCGUCUUUCUCAACAGAGUCACUGUUUUCUUUGUCUUUUUAAGGUUCUUGCUCUUCCUCUUCUUCACCCUUCUCACUGUUUUCCUCGUCUUUCUCACUCUUUUCACUGUUUUCCUCGUCUUCCUCAUCUUUCCCAUUGUUUUCCUCGUCUUUCUCACCAUUCUCACUGUUUUUCUUCCCUGUUUCAGCCUUCUUUUUAUCCUUCUCUGCCUCAACCAUCUCUCUAUCCUUCCCAUGAUCUCUACCAUAAUCAAAAUCAUUCCACUGUCUAUAUUUCUCAUCCUCAUUUCUCUUGCUUUCAAUAGAAGUCAACAUGUCUUCUAUUUUCUUGGCUUUUUUCUUCAAAACUCGCUGGUUCUUCUCAAGUUUACCCAUAGUUCAGUUCAUAGCCUCCAGCUUUGUCUCUACCGUUAAAUUAAUUCCAGAAAAUUCUUCUUCCAUGGCCUCCACAAUCCUCUCUUCCACACCUUUCAACAUCGACUCCAAACCAGAAUUAGAAGAUGAACCUUCUACAAUCGUCACUGUUUCUUUUUCUUCUGUCUUUGUAAACUUUCGUGCAGCAACAUCUGACUCAUAAAGUUCUUUCCACCAAAUCUUCUUCUGCUUCACAUUUAGCCAGUAGUUCCACCUAUCACUUGUGCUACCCUCACGGUGAUACUCUGGCUCCAGAUCAAUGAUACGAGCCAGCAAAGUUUCCUCAUCCACCGUUGGAACCAACACACUGUUAAUAACCUGAAAAUAAAACAUUCAGAAAUAUCAGUUUAAAUAUUCUGCUAUUUUCUACUAAAUGAAAUAAAGAUAUACAUUUGUCUUUCCAACCGCAACAUAUGCAUCUUUCAAAGGAUAACCCUUCAUGCUACUCUUUGUAAACCGACUCGUGCACAUCCUAGGACAAUCUCCACUGGCGCCGUCUGAAGAUAUUCAAAUUUUUUUCUCCAGCUUAGGAAUACACUCAAAAGCCAAAACCUACACAAAUGAAGUGUCACAGUGUCAGAUUUUCAGUUAUAAAUAACAAAAAUUUCACUUCGUGCUAAAUUGUAUGCUUUACCUCUAAUGGAAUUAUGAAUCCAUUAAAUUCGGUUGCAUAGUGCACUUCACCCUUCAGAAGCUCCAUUACAUGCUUAAUCUCCUUUAUUGCAUCCUCAAAUGUUAGACGACCCCAAGAAAAUUUUCUGCAAACAUCCAAAUCGUCCAUUAUCCUUAAGAUGAACGAGUCUAAUGCUGCAGAAUCCUUCGUCUUUCCUCUGAUAACCCGACCAAGGAAGAACAGGACAGCCAUCUUCAAUCUAUCAUUACAUGCCGUCCCCAUAGAUUGCAGCUUCUGCUUCACAUCUUCUAUGGUGAUCUUCUUCUUAUUACCAAAGUAAUAAUCCACAAACUUAGUACCCCCGAGCUUCAAAUGUCCACUCGGAUACUCAUGGCUGUCCAAGCCAGAGAUGAGGGCAUGCUCCCUUAUAGAGUAGCGGAUGGGCACACUAUUCACCGCAAACCAUGCAGCAUCUUCUCCUUCAAUACGAAUGGUGCGCAGCAGUAACAUCCACAUUCCUUAGAGCUUCAGGAAUUCUUCACAGGCAUGUGGAAGAAAUGACAAAACUGAGGAUGACUUGUGAACCAGCCGACCUCCUCCUUAAGUUCCUUAAUCACAUCAACUGUCUUCUUCACACAGCACUUGGUCUGAAUCUUGCAAGUUUUCAGGUAUUGUGUGUUCUUGAAGUACAUUUCAAGGGGUUGUGGUGGUUGCCUUUCCUGCAAUCAAAAUAUAUAUGUAUUAGUCAUUUUUUACUAGUAAGAUUAAUAAAAUGAAUGAUUAAAAUGAAUGCAAAAAUUACCUUGGAGGAAACAACAGACAUGCCUUCAGUUUCGGUAUCAAGUGAGAGCGAAACUACAGUCGUUCCUCUCACUGGAUUACUCUCUUCUCUAACCGGCUCAUUCCCAUUUGAUACUGCCUCUCUAGCUCUAGUUCUACUGGAGACUCCACCUCCAAUAGAUGGACGCUUUCUUUUUAGGCCCUUCAUUCCCUGUACAAGAUGUUAAUCACAACAACUCAAUUACUCCUACCAACAUCAAUAAAGCUUCAAUUCAAAACUAAUACACAACAGUAGCACUUAAUUAAAAUAAAACCAAUACACACACAACCAGUGACACUUUAUUCAAUUAAAACCAAAAGAAUAUUAUACCUUAGAGGGGGGGGGGGGGUUCACACAGAUCAUCACUAUUGUUUCCGUCUGAUAGCUCUUCCACAUGCUCUUCCACAUCCAAAAACAACACAACAACACACAUUUAGGCAUAAUCUAGAAUUAUUACUUUGCCGUAUCUCAAACCUUUCAUUCACUCAAUAAAUCACCUACUCCAUUUCAGUUUACAUUUAUCCUAACAGUCAAAGAGAUUUUGGUUUCAUAUCACAACAAUAAACCAGGAAAACCAAUUGGAUCAUGUAAGAAAGAACCCAUAAAAAUCGCGAGCUCUUGUUUUUUUUUCCAAUUUUUACCAAUCCUACAGUUUCAAGAUGUUUUCCCAAAUUUCAAACCAAAAUCUCGCUUACUUAGAUCUUACUAAACUUUUCGUCUACAAUUUAUAAGUUUUUCCCAAUUUUUAUCUGACCUAAAUACAAAAUACAAGGAAAUCAAGGUCAAGAAAUCACUUACCAGGAUGAAGGAUGUCGAUUCAGAAGAUGAAGUCUUUAUUAGAACAGAAGAAGAAGAAGAAGAAGAAGAAGAAUAAGAAUAAGAAGAAGAAACGAUGAGUUUGUCGAUUUUGUAGCUGUUUCUGGAAAUCAGAUAGAACACGAGGAGAAAAAGAGGAGAGAAAGGAAAGACACAACAAUUUUUUUUCUGUCUCCUUUCUGUCCAAACGCAGAGUUUAGGUUUAGGAAAAGGGUUAUACCCGUAUGUGUUUGGGUGGGCCGGGUUCAUGUUUGGGUUGACCGGGUUCGUGUGGUCGGAUCAUGUAAUUAUGUGAUUUUGUUAGGGUUAUAGAUGUAUUUAGCCUAUUUUCGUAUUUCAAAAUAAAUAGAUAAAAAAACUAUAUUUUAUUGAUGGGAGAUUUGAGCAUUUUUCGUGAGUUAAAGGGGCAUCUAGAGUUAAUCUCCAAGUUAUGCAGAUUUUUUGAUUAAGUACACAUAUGCACACAGAGGCAGGAUUUCACUGUAAGCAAAUUUCUGGAUCAGUUAUGACCAAACGCAAAAUGAGCUGCACUAUGCCAUGCGUUAAGACAUUAUGUGAUAGGAUUCAUCAUCCUACCACACACUAAAAUUCAUAGAUAUGAAAAAGGAUGAAAUACUCACCAAG